rnacentral:misc_RNA from 2 species
GAACGCACAUUGCGCCCUUUGGCAUUCCGAAGGGCAUGCCUGUUCGAGCGUCAUUAUCACCCCUCAAGCCCUUCGGCUUGGUGUUGGACGGUUUGGUGAAUAUAUUUUUUAUUUACCCCUCCCAAAGACAAUGACGGCGGCCUCGUUGGACCCCCGGUACACUGAGUUCUUCACCGAACACGUACUGGAAAAAGGGUUCACGGGCAACGGUCUGCCUCCCCUCAGGGAGAACUUUUUUCUAAGGUUGACCUCGGAUCAGGUAGGGAUACCCGCUGAACUUAAG